rnacentral:rRNA from 1 species
AUUGAACGCUGGCGGCAGGCCUAACACAUGCAAGUCGAGCGGAGCGGCGGACGGGGGAGUAAUGCCUAGGAAUCUGCCUGGUAGUGGGGGAUAACGUCCGGAAACGGGCGCUAAUACCGCAUACUAUCAGAUGAGCUUAGGUCGGAUGAGCUAGUUGGUGGGGUAAAGGCCUACCAAGGCGACGAUCCGUAACUGGUCUGAGAGGGUGAUCAGUCACACUGGAACUGAGACAAGGCCCAGACUCCUACGGGAGGCAGCAGUGGGGAAUAUUCGACAAUGGACGAAAGCCUGACCGAGCAAUGCCGCGUGAGUGAAGAAGGUCUUCGGAUCGUAAAGCACUGUAAGUUGAGAAGCGGUACCAACACAGUAAGCACCGGCUAACUACGUGCCAGCCGCCGCGGUAAUAC